rnacentral:rRNA from 1 species
AACGAACGCUGGCGGCAUGCCUAACACAUGCAAGUCGAACGAGACCUUCGGGUCUAGUGGCGCACGGGUGCGUAACGCGUGGGAACCUGCCCUUAGGUUCGGAAUAACUCCCCGAAAGGGGUGCUAAUACCGGAUAAUGUCUUCGGACCAAAGAUUUAUCGCCUUUGGAUGGGCCCGCGUUGGAUUCGCUAGUUGGUAGGGUAAAAGCCUACCAAGGCGACGAUCCAUAGCUGGUCUGAGAGGAUGAUCAGCCACACUGGGACUGAGACACGGCCCAGACUCCGACGGGAGGGAGCAGUGGGGAAUAUUGUACGAUGGGCGAAAGCCUGAUCCAGCAAUGCCGCGGGAGUGAUGAAGGCCUUAGGGUAGUAAAGCUCUUUGACCCGGGAUGAUAAUGACAGUACCGGGUGAAUAAGCUCCGGCUAACUCCGUG